rnacentral:rRNA from 1 species
GGUGAUGCCUGCCCGGUGACUCACGUUCAACGGCCGCGGUAUCCUAACCGUGCAAAGGUAGCGCAAUCAAUUGUCCCAUAAAUCGAGACUAGUAUGAAUGGCUAAACGAGGUCUUAACUGUCUCUUACAGGCAAUCGGUGAAAUUGAUCUCCCUGUACAAAAGCAGGGAUAAACCCAUAAGACGAGAAGACCCUGUGGAACUUUAAAACCAGCAACCACCUUAAAACACAUACUCACCCACUGGGUUCACUGACACAUAAGACUCUGGUCUGCGUUUUUCGGUUGGGGCGACCUUGGAGCAAAACAAAACCUCCAAAAAUUAGACCACAUCUCUAGACUGAGAGCAACCCCUCAACGUGCUAAUAGCAUCCAGACCCAAUAUAAUUGAUCAAUGGACCAAGCUACCCCAGGGAUAACAGCGCAAUCUCCCCCGAGAGUCCGUAUCGACGGGGAGGUUUACGACCU